rnacentral:rRNA from 1 species
UCCCGACAGUCCAAGUCGCAGCCACAAUUAUUGGGUCUAAAAUAUCCGUAGCUUGCUAAAGAAGUCUCUUGUGAAAUCCUGCAUCUUAAGUGUAGGGCGUGCAAGAGAUACUCUUUUGCUAGAGACUGGCAGGCGUAAGAAGUACAUUCAGGGUAGUGGUAAAAUAUUUUAAUCCUGGAUGGACUGACAGUCGCGAAGGCGUCUUACGAGGACAGUUCUGACAGUGAGGGAUGAAGGCUAGGGGC